rnacentral:rRNA from 2 species
AGAGUUUGAUCCUGGCUCAGAUUGAACGCUGGCGGCAUGCCUUACACAUGCAAGUCGAACGGUAGAGGGGCAACCCUUGAGAGUGGCGAACGGGUGAGUAAUGCAUCGGAACGUGCCCAGUCGUGGGGGAUAACGCAGCGAAAGCUGUGCUAAUACCGCAUGUGAUCUGUGGAUGAAAGCAGGGGACUUGGUAGCAAUACUGGGCCUUGUGCGAUUGGAGCGGCCGAUGUCAGAUUAGCUAGUUGGUAGGGUAAAAGCCUACCAAGGCGACGAUCUGUAGCUGGUCUGAGAGGACGACCAGCCACACUGGGACUGAGACACGGCCCAGACUCCUACGGGAGGCAGCAGUGGGGAAUUUUGGACAAUGGGCGCAAGCCUGAUCCAGCAAUGCCGCGUGCAGGACGAAGGCCUUCGGGUUGUAAACUGCUUUUGUACGGAGCGAAACGGUCUGGGUUAAUACCCUAGGCUAAUGACGGUACCGUAAGAAUAAGCACCGGCUAACUACGUGCCAGCCGCCGCGGUAAUUC